rnacentral:rRNA from 1 species
GAUGAAUGCUGGCGGCGUGCUUAACACAUGCAAGUCGAGCGGAAAGGCCCUUCGGGGUACUCGAGCGGCGGACGGCUGAGUAACGCGUGGGAACAUGCCCCAAAGUGAGGAAUAACUGCCCGAAAGGGUGGCUAAUGCCGCAUAUGAUCUUCGGAUUAAAGGAUUUAUCCGCUUUGGGAGUGGCCUGCGUAUGAUUAGGUAGUUGGUGAGGUAAUGGCUCACCAAGCCGACGAUCAUUAGCUGGUCUGAGAGGAUGACCAGCCAGACUGGAACUGAGACACGGUCCAGACUCCUACGGGAGGCAGCAGUGAGGAAUAUUCCACAAUGGGCGAAGGCCUGAUGGAGCAACGCCGCGUGAAGGAUGAAGGCCCUCGGGUUGUAAACUUCUUUUAUAAGUGAAGAAUAUGACGGUAACUUAUGAAUAAGCACCGGCUAACUACGUGCCAGCAGCCGCGGUA